UACUGGAUAGAUCUAAUCAAUACGAAGAAUUUGCCGCUGGUUUCAUCGAAUUUGGACCUACGGGUAAAAAGUUGUGGCUAUUCUAAGUUUAGGGACUAAUCUACUAAUUAUAGGGAUUAAAAAGUGAAGAAAACUAUCAACAACAAGUCCCUGGUCAUGUGGCGCACUGUGAGAGGCCAGAGAGUCUUCACUUCGGUAGCUAUACGGUGAACGGCCAUUAAAUAAUAAAACAACUACCGCGGCUAAAUUAAAAACCGGAGACCGGUUUUUUUCACUAAAACCGCACGGUUUAAUAAAACCUCGGUUAACCGUUUUAAACAAAACAAAAAACCAAACGGAACGGGGGAGGUAGCUCACAGCGAGCGGCAGAGUAGGCGUCGGUGACGUGCAGGGGACGGCGGCGCUACGUUGGGCAGCGACGGGGCGACGGCUACGGCGGCCUCCGGUGGGUUCCGGCGGCGGCGAAGUAGACGGAGGGGUGCGACGUGGCGCAGGCGGCCGGAUGGUGGGGUCGGAGGGCAGCAGGGUGGCCGGCGUCGAUUGGAGGGAGGCGGCGGCGUCCGGAGCUCCGGUGAGGAAGCAGGUCAUCGGGGUGGCGUCUCCGGCGACCUAGGGACAGGAGGAGGAUGUCAACAAGAUGCCCUUCGACCCGGGCAACAUAUUGAAUAAGAAGACGGAGGCCGGGGUGGCUCACGGGCGUUGAAAUCCUCCUGUGAACUAGCAUGGCUCCGGCGAGAUCCAAGCGGCAACUGCGACGGCUGCGGGGAGCUAGGGACGACGUGGAGUGGCAGAAUGGAGAGAGGGGGGCCAGGGCUUCUUAUAGGCGCAGAGAGAGGGCUCCGACAUGGGGGAAGAGUGACGGGAAGAGUGCUUGGGCACUGGGCUGGCCUGGUCAAUCGCUAGCUGGGCCGCGGGGUACUCCUGGGCCGAGCUGGCCACAGUCCAGGUGGUGUGUGUGUGUGUGUUUUUAAAAACACAAAGGGACUGUAGUAGAAUAAAAAAACAUAGGCAUAUUAUAUACCAAAAUGCUCAGAAAAAUAGCAGCAAUAAGAUGAACUAUUUUGCAAGUUCAACUAAAUUUCAUAAAAAUUCCUAAAAGUCAAAGAGCGCUACUGUUGCAUUUAAAAUCAAUAAAAAUCAUUUUUAAAAUAGCAAAAUGAUUUCAAAUUUAUUUUCUCCUAAUUUUCUAUUGAAGGGAAUCAUUUUACCCUUAUUUCUAUUUAUUUAUUUUUAGGAGAAAGAUAAUUUGAAUAUAGAACUAAAUAACUCCCAAGAGGAUUUGAAUUUGGAAUUUCAAACAACUUCUAAUGGAAAACGAGUUUCAAAUAACUUCAAAGUGACUUCCAAUUUAUUUCUUUGAAACUUCUAACUCUCUUUCUUCAAAUAUGAAGAAGUCAUUUUAUCUUCCCUCAUGAACUCAUUGAGUUGCUUAAAGUUUCUAAGUUUGAAAUAUUUCAAAAUGGAAUUCAAAUCAUUUUCAAACCCCUUUUCAUUUCUUUAAAUGGAAGAAGUCAUAUCAUCUUCACUCUAGGGUUUGUGAUGAAAUGAAUUUGAAUUCAGGAAGAUCUAAAUGCAAGAUGAAAAGUUUUGGGAAAGUCCCUUUAUUCCCUCUCAUUCAACUUUCAAAAAGUUUUCAAUUUCCAAUCAUUUUCACACAAUCAAUUACGCAACAAUAAAACUAAAAAUCAUAAUAAUUUUUUUAAUAUAACAUUCCAAAAUUUAGAAUUUUGGGAUGUUACAAACUACCACCCUUAAAAUGAAUCUCGUCCUCGAGAUUCGGAGAGGCUAGAAAGAAGGUUAGGUUUGGGGGGUCUCCUUGAAAAUCCAUUCAUCAACACAUGGUAUGGGGUGCUACCACCCUUAGAAUCAUGGUUACGGUUCCGACAAAACUCAUGUACUCCAUCCUUGGUGUUAACGGUGUCGGUCUUCUCAUAUUCUCCGAGAUAACUCCUUCACUUUUGCUCUUUUGGUAAGGGCAUGGCCUUUUCCUCAAAAUUUGGAGUCCUUGCAUCAAAUAAGAUCCUUCCGGGUCUGGGUCUUAUUUGCUGUCAGGCCAUUGCCAGUGCUAAACAAUUAUCGAAAAUCUCAUGGUGGUCAACAAUUACUGGUUCCUCCUGCAGGAAUUGGGUCUGGGAUGAACCUCACCGCAUAACCUACGUUUGGCAAUAGGUGCCUGUACUUCCAUCAUCCUGCCAUUCUAAGGCUUUUGGCUUGUCGUGUCGACACUCUUUUAGGGUUUCAAGUCUCUCUGAUUUUCCCAUCAACAUAUGAUAGCUCAUGACAGAAGUCUUCGGUAUGGGGGCCAAUCCAUCCCGUACUUGAAUCAUUACCACAUACGCGGAUAGUGAAUCACGUAUUCUAACACUUGGGCAUCCUCACAAGCAUUGCAGAACUUCUCUUCUCCACGAACUGGGUUUGGGGAAAUCCAUUUGUUCUGCAAGCCAAACAAAAUCUCUAUCGCUUCUUCACAAUUCUCGGGUUUACGUAACCUCCUAUGGAACGUCUGCUGAUGACAUCGUAGCUUCCUUCAGAAUUCUUUUCUUCAACAAUAUUGCGCUUGUUUCCUUAUCAAAUCCUGGGUCAUGUGGGUUAUGAGCCCACUUAAAACUUAUAUAUCCUUAACUCAUCCUUGGAGUUACUAUUGCUCCAUAUUCCAACAUUACAUCUCCUUUAAAUCCAAUAGUACUUCAUUACUUCAUACUCUUGGGUAACCAUCAUAACUAAACCAAACUCCAACUCAUUUUCCCAAACUCCACUCUAUAGAAUACAUUUUCUUUUCCAUUGUUCAAGUGUUCACACAGACAAGUAUCACCAAAAAAAUGCACUGGUUCAUCCAUAAUUCUCUUCAUAUCAAAUCCUUUAUUACAUCCUUAACCACUACUCCAGACUCAAAUUUCAAAACUACUUUAUUACAAAAGCUGCCAUCCACAUAGUUUGGUAUGGUCAAGCAUUACUUCCAUCUUUAUUCAUUUGCCCUUCUUGAAGAUGCUUCAGUCCCACUAGAAUUGUGCGAUGUGAUCCUUUAAAUCAUCAAUGUUUUGCUUCAUCGUGGUGGCCAUGAGCUUCAUCUCCAUCAUCUCUGCAUGGACCUCUCUCAGGUAUUCCUGAGUGUGACGGAGUCUUGCUUCUAGUAUUUCUCCAAUAUGACGUAUGGCUUCCAUAGCAGCUUCACGAACAGAGUCAAAGAAUGUUGCUCAUGGUACUCGAGAAAUGAAAAAGUAUUGUCCCAUAGUCUUUGGGCAAACUCCCUUCACAUGGUGGAGGUGUACCUCCACGUACCAAAGUUUAACUCCAUUCUCCAUGAAAGGAUAACCCUUGUAGACUGCAUCUCCUUCAAGAUGAAUAUGCUUCAUCAUGUCCUUUAGGAUUUUUGGGUAAUCCUGAUCACUGGUCAGGGUCAUGAUCGUUUCUGGGCCCUUCAGAAAAGACUCGUAAAAGGUUGUCAUCUGUAGGCAUAAGAUAGAAGGGGUACUCAGGAUACUGUAUGUAUUUCCUUUGGUGAAAUGUGGUUGUUUUUCUGGGAAAAGUUUGCGGUCAGCUUGUCCAUGGGUUCGAGGUUUUAGUCUGGGUGAGAUAAUGAGAGAGGCAUUCACAAUCAACAACAACUCAUUUCACAUGAGAUUCCAACACCUCAACUUUUAUUGCUUCACGAGCUAUUACAAUUUCCAUUUCAUAACUCAACUCAACAUCCCCAACGAAAAUAAAAGUGCAUUCCAACUUUAUUACAUGCUUUAUUCCAAUAUCAAGAUCUCAACUACUCUGCUCAAGCUCUCCUCGGGUCUGAACAUUCUCUGGCCAAAUGUCCUACUCCCUUGCAGCAUAAACAAAUGACUUCAGACAAAUCCAGGGGCUUCCUGGUGGUUAUCUUGGCUCCUUGGGUUCUUGGCUUCCUUGCUGGGCAUUUGCUAGCGUAAUGACCUAAAUCCUUGCACCUAUAACAAGUGAUUUGACUUAGGUCCUUUUCUGCAGAAAUUGGGUUGUUCUGGGGAUACAUGCUCUUUCUCUUCCUGGACUUCUUCGUUUCGAUCAAUUCUUCUAUCUCAUGUGGAUCAAACUCCACUUCUUCUAUUGGGAAGUCUCCCAGAUACUCUUGGUUUUCCUUCAUGCAAUAUUGUGAAAAAUGUCCUUCUUCUCCACAUGAAUAGCAAGCAUUGGAGAAAAAUCGGUUUAGGCUUUCUCCAUCAGGGUCGUCAACAUCUUCUUUCAUCACUGGUUUUCUUAAACUUUCCCUGAGGGCUUCUUUCACUGCUUCCUUCUGCUGCUUGGUAAUUUCUUGUACCUUGGGAUAAAUAUGACACUGGGCAGGGUAGUGCGUAGUUCCUUCACACAAGAAACAAGUAACCUUCAUGGUUGGACAUUCUUCAGCUUGGUGAUUUCCUUCACAAUGAGGGCAUCCAUCCUUGUGUUCUUCAUGGGUAUGUCCUAUCUCACCAUAAAUCUUGCAUGCAUAAGGUUUCUUCAUUUUAUUGCCAUAUGGCUUCUGAAUAAGACGAGACCUUAGUAGAGUCAUGUUGAAUUCCUCCCAAGUUUUUACUCCGUUACAUCCUUGUAUGGCUUGAUGCAUUUUCCACCAGGUUGCAGCACUUUUUGUAAAGUACUGAAGAGCAUAUUGAACCUCAUUCUUCCUUGCAAUGAAAUUGCUCCUGAAGUGAUUCUCCAUGUUUUUAAUCCAUAGCUCUGCCUCCAUGUGAGUGAUCGGUUCAGAGAAUGCAAGUCCAUCUUCAUUCAUCAUCUAUUGGGUCCAAGGGUUUCGGGAUGAGAUAGGAGGGAUAGAGAGAGAUGCACACAAUACAAACAAUAUAGUUUUGAAAAUAAGUUUUAUUUGUGGCUGUCAGGAAAAACAUCAAACAAUGACAGCUCACAAACAUCACAUCUAACGUGAGUAUACAACAAGGGUUUGGUCUUCUAAAGGUCAUAUAAAUCUUGGAAUUUGUCGGUGUCUUCAAAUUCUUCAAUUCUUCAGAGGCUUCGACUAUUGUAGCUUCAACUAUUCUAGUGUAUGGUGAAGUCUGAUAUCUUGUCGUUCUCGGAGUGGUCUCAUCAGUUGAUCCUCCGUGUGGUCAAAGGGAAAAGGGGUAUUGUCUAACUAUUUGGGGUAAAAGGAAAGAUUUGAUAAAGCUCGGAAAAGAAGAGAGGUAAAGGAUCUUUUUGAAAAUUAAGUUUUAGAGAGAUCCUUUCCUAUGUGCUUUCCAGUUUCUAGGGUCACGUCCUACAGUCAACAUGUGCUCUGAUACCAUCUCUGUAGCGUCGACCCGACCUCAAACGGUCAAGCCUCUGUGUAUCCGUGCCAUCCCUGGAUCAGUAUGCUGGCACACACAGUAUAUCUAUGUAUAUAUCAAAGUGCAACCACAUGUAUAAAUAACGUAAAACUGAUAUAUACCUCAUAAGUCUCAGCGGAAACAAACAUAAGGGUGUGCAGUCCAUCAACGCUAACGGCAAGUUGAGUGUAGACCGUAACCCUACAACAUAACUCUUAUUCGUCGUAGAAAAUUCCUGCAACAUAAGACGUUGCAGCCUUGUAGGUCAGUACAUUGAAUGUACUGGCAAGUCACAUCAUAAGGAUAAUGAACCUAUUGUACAUGCAAUUUGGCUGGUGGAAAGCUCUAAGUUUAGUUUUUUUUGCAUAAAGCUAGUUUUUCCCCUAGAAUAAAAGAAAUUAUUGUACCACUACUGUAUAGCAUAGGAUGAGUUGGUAAACCCAACUCAAUCCACUCCCAAAGUUUCAUUUAAAACCCAACUGUUUAAAUUAAGAGUGAUGAGAUCUCCCAGCAUUUCCACUACUAGAUGCUCAAGUUGUCCGUAACCGGGGACAUGGCUAAUCGAUUAGGUUUUAACACUCUGCAGAGGUUUGCACACUUUUCCCCACAAGACUCGAUCGCCUCCCUUGAAGUUCUUGCACUGCCUGGCGUUUGAGAAUAGGAUGACCGAGACAUAGUCUUUCAAAAAUGUCCCCCCAUAACCCACAGAUAGGCCGGUACACCUACAUCAUUCUGCAUCUGCUAGCCCAUCCCGGAAGGUGUCAUACUAACUACUCAACUAAGCCAAAGCCCAUAUUGGCUUGUGGCUGCACACGUAAGAUUCUAGACAUGAGAAUACGAUUGAUCUCUUUGAGCCUGGGCGGCCGACCACUAGUGGCGCACCACCAUGGAUUAACCAUGCAUGCUUCCACUGUACUUCGCCACCAUUCAAACCAAAUACCUCCUAGGUAGUUCAUUUACAAGUCUUGGUCCUGAUUACUACUUUGUCACUCAUGUCUCACCAUGAACACUUCCCAAUUCCACGUCUACACUUGGCGAGGCAAAAAUAAACUAACACGUUGGUGACAAGGAUGUAUAGGUCAGACCUACCUCAAAUGAACUACUAGGUAACGGGAUAGCCAUCUGGCAACAAUAAAUCCUACCAUGCAAUCCUACCUCAAAGGACUAAGUGCAUAAUAAAAACAUAGGUAAAUGGAAGAAUGGUCAAAUGUGAACUUGCCUGGUAAUAGUUGAUGAAGAUAAUAUCGCUCUCGGAAAUUUACUUAAUGGAACUAUUCGUCACUCCCCGAUGAAAAUCUAUAAAGUCAACAUUGCAUUCCCAUAAGCAAUCAUUUCAAAGAACCAAGAAGAACAUGCAAAGUAAAAAGUCUUGGAAAACCAAAUGAACAUUCAACACACUUAACUAGCAUGGAAAUAUCCUAAAUGCAAAACAACAUGUGACAUAGGGUGCAAAGAUGUGAUGUGUACUAAAGCGCAUACAUGGCAUAAUAGUAAAACUAUCAUGGACAGAAUCUAAUGUGUGAAAAAUAUCGUGAGAUAGGUCCAAGUGAUAGGGUUUGGCAAUGGUGACACGGUGCAAAAAGAAUCACAUCAAUCGGAGCUGCGAUUUAGGAGUUAUGGCCAUUUGAAGUUCGAAUUCAAAUCUGAAUAAAGUUCAAAUUUGAAUUUGGAAAAAGUUUACAAACAUGAUGCUACUGGAUAGAUCUAAUCAAUACGAAGAAUUUGCCGCUGGUUUCAUCGAAUUUGGACCUACGGGUAAAAAGUUGUGGCUAUUCUAAGUUUAGGGACUAAUCUGCUAAUUAUAGGGACUAAACAGUGAAGAAAACUAUCACCAACAAGUCCCUGGCCACGUGGCGCACUGUGAGAGGCCAGAGAGUCUUCACUUCGGUAGCUAUACGGUGAACGGCCAUUAAAUAAUAAAACAAC
rnacentral:lncRNA from 1 species